AGGUGUUUCAUCCUAUGCCCUGUCAAUAGAAACACAAGUAAAAUAACCAAACAAAGCUCAUUGGGAAAUGUGUAAUGAAAGUCAUAAUGCAGGAACAACAUUUUCAAGAGGAACUACAUUAAGCAAGUAUUUUCACAGCAGGUAGCUGUCCAAGGGAGAGAUUGCUGAAGCUUGGUGGCGGUGAUGGUUGUGCAUUGGCAGUGAAGGUCCAGAAGUUUCUCCAGUUCUUAAGAGAGAGGAAUCCCUGGCUCAAGAGAAUGGAGUCACUUGCCCAGGGUCAUCCAACUGAGCUGGUGCCCUUUGCACUCCCCAAGCUGCUUCUCUCUGGGUUUGGUAAAGGUUUUUUGUCUUUACGAGAAACAGAGAUGGAGCCUCACUGUUGUCAAGGCUGGUCUCAAACUCCUGGUCUCAAGCGAUCCUCCCACCUUGGCUUCCCAAGACACCAGUUCUUUUAUUUCAUCCUCCCCAAAUCUCUGAGCUCGGACUUCUAUUCUGGGGUGAAUUUGGGGUAAUCGUGACAAUGACAACAGACAAAAUUACUGAUGCUGGGAGCAGCAAGUUGGGUUUGGAGGUCAUUGCUAAGCUGUAAAAGAAGUGAUUUGACUAUAAACUUUGGCUGGGCCUCCCUGAACGGGAUCACAUACCACAAUGGAACCUCUGACAGGAAAGGUGGCUUCCCUCAUGCCCCAUCGUACUUUUUCAUCAUUCUUUAGAACCAUGGAGGAGUUCAAAUACCAGCUCAGACACUUCCUUGCUAGAUGACCUCAGUUCAGGAACUUGUUCAGUUUGAAAAGGGAAGAAGAAAGUCAGGGAUGGUUUCUUCUUGUGUCGUGGUGUCUCAAAUCUAAAAGGGCAGAGAAGAUGUGAACUGAGAGGGGCUCACCGAAAUCUGGAAAGGCCAUUGUCACAGUGGUGGUGGGAGGCACCUGAUUUCCUUGACACCUACUUUACACCACGUACUUUCUGUAUUGCCAUUGAACCUGUGACCACCUUGUUCAGCAGAAGGAGGAACGUGCCGUGACGAGAGAAGGCUGAAUGUUUGCUGCCUCUGGAGGAAGUGAGAGCUGCUCAAAGGUGGUGACCACGGCUUCAAGGCAACUCAUGAAUCUCUACUCAAACCCUCCAGUGGCUGCCUGUUUUACUUAGAGUAAAAGCCCAAGUCUUACAGGGGCCUAUGAAGUCUUUAUCUGUCAGAGUCCAACUGGGAAACACAAUCCAUACCAGGGGAAGUUUUCUCUGAUGCUCACACGAUGUGGGAACUUGUCACAUCUUCAAUCUCCGGGAACGUCCUCACCUGAAAUUGAAAGGUAGAACAAAGGCAGUCAAGGGUGCAAGGAUAUUAGAAGCUGUGUUCUGUGAGCUUUCAUGAAGGCUGUGGAAGGAUCCAGGCAGGAUGGCCUCAAAUUAAGAUUUUAAUGACUCUUUGGUUUAGAAAACACACUCUUGCUGUUAACGCUAUCUUAUCAGGUAUCAUUUUUGAAUUCACAGAUGAAAGUUAAAAAAUUCAUAAUUAUACAAAUACUUGCCUUGUA
rnacentral:lncRNA from 1 species